rnacentral:lncRNA from 1 species
GGAGUGAGCCAAGAGUGAAGGCACAUGGAUGCAAUAAUCAACCUGUCCCGUUUUAUGGGACGCCAGGAGGUGUAGUUAUCACCAAUGGGAAAUUUCUCCUGGAUAACAAACUGCCUGUUGCAACCCUACUUUGGCCCCAGGAGAGGACAACCUUGCUGUACACUCCAUCCAAAAGCAGAAGGGAAUUAUAUUCUGAAUCAAACCUGUGGUCCCUUGAAGUAGUCAGUGAUAAAAAGCAGAGGAAUCCUGCAGAUAUCACGUUUGUGGACCAAGUGGCCAUCUGAGCAGCUGAGUUGCCAUGCAGGCGACACACACAGGGCAGAUCCUCUGUCACCCUACUCCAGAAGCAAAUAGAGAUACUGGUAGGAGAUCAAGGGUAUCUCUCUUCUCAUGAAAGCUUGUGACAAAGCAGGGGCAAAGCAACCAACCUCAAAAGAGGGCAAUGCUACUUAGAAGGAGAACCAAAGAGAAUGUCUUUGUAAAAGGCAGAUCUACUUGAUCUAUUCUGAGAAAUAAAGGUCUG